UACGUAGGGGGCAAGCGUUGUCCGGAUUUAUUGGGCGUAAAGAGCGUGUAGGCGGCUUUACAGGUCCGUUGUGAAAACUCGAGGCUCAACCUCGAGACGCCGGUGGAAACCGUAAAGCUAGAGUCCGGAAGAGGAGAGUGGAAUUCCUGGUGUAGCGGUGAAAUGCGCAGAUAUCAGGAAGAACACGCGUGGCGAAGGCGGCUCUCUGGGACGGUACUGACGCUGAGACGCGAAAGCGUGGGGAGCAAACAGG
rnacentral:rRNA from 1 species